rnacentral:rRNA from 1 species
CCUACGGGUGGCAGCAGUGGGGAAUAUUGCACAAUGGGGGAAACCCUGAUGCAGCGACGCCGCGUGAGUGAAGAAGUAUUUCGGUAUGUAAAGCCCUAUUAGCAGGGAAGAAAUAGCGACCUUUGGGUCGCCAGACGGUACCUGACUAAGAAGCCCCGGCUAACUACGUGCCAGCAGCCGCGGUAAUACGUAGGGGGCAAGCGUUAUCCGGAUUUACUGGGUGUAAAGGGAGCGUAGACGGCAGCACAAGUCUGAAGUGAAAUGCCGGGGCUUAACCCCGGAACUGCUUUGGAAACUGUGCAGCUAGAGUGCAGGGGAGGUAAGUGGGAAUGCUAGUGUAGCGGUGAAAUGCGUAGAUAUUAGGAGGAACACCAGUGGCGGAGGCGACUUACUGGACUGUAACUGACGUUGAGGCUCGAAAGCGUGGGGAGCAAACAGGAUUAGAUACCCUUGUAGUC